rnacentral:lncRNA from 1 species
CAAAGGGCUCAAUAAGUCUAUUUAAGUUUGUAAAAUUACAUAUAAUUAAAAAUAUGUCUAGUUAUAUACUAACUUUUCGUUUUACUUGUGCAAAUUAAUUAUCAGCACCACUUGUCUUAAUAAAGCCAGACAACAAACUUGGGGCGAGCCAACUAAACUACCAGUUGAUGUUGCUAUUCAAAUCUUCAUUGAGCAUAUGGUGGGAAGGAG